rnacentral:rRNA from 1 species
AGUGAACGCUGGCGGUAGGCCUAACACAUGCAAGUCGAACGGCAGCACAGUAAGAGCUUGCUCUUACGGGUGGCGAGUGGCGGACGGGUGAGGAAUACAUCGGAAUCUACUUUUUCGUGGGGGAUAACGUAGGGAAACUUACGCUAAUACCGCAUACUACCUACGGGUGAAAGCAGGGGAUCUUCGGACCUUGCGCGAUUGAAUUAGCCGAUGUCGGAUUAGCUAGUUGGCGGGGUAAAGGCCCACCAAGGCGACGAUCCGUAGCUGGUCUGAGAGGAUGAUCAGCCACACUGGAACCUAGACCCGGUCCAGACUCCUACGGGAGGCCGCAGUGGGGAAUAUUGGACAAUGGGCGGAAGCCUGAUCCAGCCAUACCGCGUGGGUGAAGAAGGCCUUCGGGUUGUAAAGCCCUUUUGUUGGGAAAGAAAAGCAGCAGGUUAAUACCCCGCUGUUCUGACGGUACCCAAAGCAUAAGCACCGGCUAACUUCGUG